UACGGGGGGGGCAAGCGUUGUUCGGAAUUACUGGGCGUAAAGGGCUCGUAGGCGGCCAACUAAAUCAGACGUGAAAUCCCCAGGCUUAACCUGGGAACUGCAUCCGAUACUGGAUGGCUUGAAUCCGGGAGAGGGAUGCAGAAUUCCAGGUGUAGCGGUGAAAUGCGUAGAUAUCUGGAGGAAUACCGGUGGCGAAGGCGGCAUCCUGGACCGGCAUUGACGCUGAGUGAGCGAAAGCCAGGGGAGCAAACGGG
rnacentral:rRNA from 1 species